AGAGUUUGAUCAUGGCUCAGAACGUACGCUGGCGGCACGCCUAACACAUGCAAGUCGAACGAAGUAGCAAUACUUAGUGGCAGACGGGUGAGUAACAUGUGGGUAUCUACCCUUUGGCCUGGAAUAACACGAGGAAACUUGUGCUAAUACCGGAUAAGUCUUUACGGAGAAAGCUUUAUGCACCAUUGGAUGAGCCCGCACUUGAUUAGUUUGUUGGUAGGGUAAUGGCCUACCAAGACUAUGAUCAAUAGCUGAUUGAGAGGAUGAUCAGCCACAUUGGGACUGAGACACGGCCCAAACUCUACGGGAGGCAGCAGUGGGGAAUCUUGCACAAUGGAGGAAACUCUGAUGCAGCGAUGCCGCGUGAGUGAAGAAGGCCUUUGGGUUGUAAAGCUCUUUCGUCGGGGAAGAAAAUGACUGUACCCGAAUAAGAAGGUCCGGCUAACUUCGUGCCAGCAGCCGCGGUAAUACGAAGGGACCUAGCGUAGUUCGGAAUUACUGGGCUUAAAGAGUUCGUAGGUGGUUGAAAAAGUUGGUGGUGAAAUCCCAGAGCUUAACUCUGGAACUGCCAUCAAAACUUUUCAGCUAGAGUAUGAUAGAGGAAAGCAGAAUUUCUAGUGUAGAGGUGAAAUUCGUAGAUAUUAGAAAGAAUACCAAUUGCGAAGGCAGCUUUCUGGAUCAUUACUGACACUGAGGAACGAAAGCAUGGGUAGCGAAGAGGAUUAGAUACCCUCGUAGUCCAUGCCGUAAACGAUGUGUGUUAGACGUUGGAAAUUUAUUUUCAGUGUCGCAGGGAAACCGAUAAACACACCGCCUGGGGAGUACGACCGCAAGGUUAAAACUCAAAUGAAUUGACGGGGACCCGCACAAGUAGUGGAGCAUGUGGUUUAAUUCGAAGAUACGCGCAGAACCUUACCAACACUUGACAUGUUCGUCGCGACUCUAAGAGAUUAGAGUUUUCGGUUCGGCCGGACGAAACACAGGUGCUGCAUGGCUGUCGUCAGCUCGUGUCGUGAGAUGUUGGGUUAAGUCCCGCAACGAGCGCAACCCUCACUUUUAGUUGCCAUCAUUAAGUUGGGCACUCUGAAAGAACUGCCAGUGAUAAGCUGGAGGAAGGUGGGGAUGACGUCAAGUCCUCAUGGCCCUUACGUGUUGGGCUACACACGUGCUACAAUGGCAU
rnacentral:rRNA from 1 species